AGGCGAUUGGCUACUUUGGCUUACCGUUGUGUUCUCGAACCUCGCGAAUGUAGUUGUUAGUCCAAUGUAAUAUUUGGUAGGAACAGCGUGAGAUGCAGUGAAACGAGAAAAUAGACAGGACAGAAAACGAAAGAAAUAAAUACAUAUGUUCGUGACGUAACGUGUUCACAUAAAGACAUUGCAAAAGAUAUUUGCACAUACUCUUUUUUUCCAAUGGAAUUCUUUCUAUCAGAUUCUACAUUUCAUUUCCAUAAUUUCAAAUUUUUAUAAGCAUAAAAGAGUUACUACUAAAUCACAAGAAAUUUAAUAUACUUGGACCUAAUUACCGAUUAAUACAUAAACGUUUAUGUACACGUUACAUGCAGAGUUUCAGUCUGCGAAUGGUCAGACGGGAUUUCGUGAGAAUGAGUAAUCCAAACGUUCAAGGAUAGCUGGCUGCUCGAAGUCACGUAGCUAUCGGGUGACACAGGAUCGAAUUUUCGGAAGACGCGUGGGAGAGUUUAGACGUGACAAGUAAUCCGAAUACGUUUACCAAAAAACAGGAAUAUUGUUUCCAGAGAAUCUGACCGCAGCAUGUCGGCUAAAAUACUUUCUGCUGAAUGCAUUGUGAAUGUCUCGUCUACACUCACAGAGCUGUCCAACUGGACAAAUUGUAAAGUACAAAUUAAAUAAUAAAAAAAAAAAUCUCACAGAUACUGUCUGUAGAUAAUAGUCUUCGUGCACUGUACGCUGCCAGUUAUUGGAUCAUGUAUGCAGACUGUUUGCAAACGAUGUCGUUUAUCUACUGCAGUCUAAAGUCUAAUGAGGGUGCCGGCUACUCGUAAUUUUGUAUCAGCCGACCUUUUGCACGACCACAACCGCCCCAGCCCAUAAUUUCGGGUACCCGCAUACCCUUAUAGCCUGUCCAAGGAGACGAGAAAGUGGACAUAAACAAAGUGUAAUACCUGCAGCCACGGCAAUUGCACCUAAUUAGUGUCUCCGGUUAUGUCUU
rnacentral:lncRNA from 1 species